UAAGAAGCUGGAGUCUCUUUCAAAGACAUCUGUACUCUAAAGGUAGCAGGUUUAUCAAAUGGCCACAAUUUGAGCAGAUGAGGAAAUGGAGGCUCGGUGAGGCUAAAUGCAAGUUCACAAAGCUAAUCUAUCCUUUUCAUCCCUCACACCUGGCCCAGGUACCAUCUCCUUGCCUGACAUGGCUUCCAAUCCUCUUAACUGUACCCCAGGUUCAUCUUGCCUGAGCUACCUCCUGAUCUGUACCUACCCCCCACACACCUCUUUGCGUUGGACUUAUGGCUCUCUAAUGUAACAACUCACCUGUCUGUGCACUACCCAGGCCCAACACCUGGCACAGAGCGUGGCUCCUGCCAAGCCAUCUCGAGUGGUUUCUUCAGUGAAGAUGUGGGCAACCUCGAAAAGAACACAGAAGGUCAAGAGCAUCUGUGAAUAAACCACGGCUUUCCCUAGCCCAUUUGUUGGCAGCUCUCAAGCUAUCAGGGGCUUCCAG
rnacentral:lncRNA from 10 species